UGGGGAAUCUUCCGCAAUGGGCGAAAGCCUGACGGAGCAACGCCGCGUGAGUGAAGACGGCCUUCGGGUUGUAAAGCUCUGUUAUACGGGACGAAUAAUCUUGUGGUUAAUACCCAUGAGAAGUGACGGUACCGUAAGAGAAAGCCACGGCUAACUACGUGCCAGCAGCCGCGGUAAUACGUAGGUGGCAAGCGUUGUCCGGAAUUAUUGGGCGUAAAGGGCGCGCAGGCGGCUUCUUAAGUCUGUCUUAAAAGUGCGGGGCUUAACCCCGCGAUGGGAUGGAAACUGGGAAGCUCAGAGUAUCGGAGAGGAAAGCGGAAUUCCUAGUGUAGCGGUGAAAUGCGUAGAUAUUAGGAGGAACACCAGUGGCGAAAGCGGCUUUCUGGACGAAAACUGACGCUGAGGCGCGAAAGCCAGGGGAGCGAACGGGAUUAGAUACCCCGGUAGUCCUGGCCGUAAACGAUGGGUACUAGGUGUAGGAGGUAUCGACCCCUUCUGUGCCGGAGUUAACGCAAUAAGUACCCCGCCUGGGGAGUACGGCCGCAAGGUUG
rnacentral:rRNA from 1 species